rnacentral:rRNA from 1 species
CCUACGGGUGGUAGCAGUGGGGAAUAUUGGACAAUGGGCGCAAGCCUGAUCCAGCAAUACCGCGUGUGUGAAGAAGGCCUUAGGGUUGUAAAGCACUUUCAAUGGGGAGGAAAACCUACCGGUCAAUACCCGGUAGCUUGACAUUACCUGUAGAAGAAGCACCGGCUAACUCCGUGCCAGCAGCCGCGGUAAUACGGAGGGUGCAAGCGUUAAUCGGAAUUACUGGGCGCGAAGCGUUCGUACACAGGUGAAAGCCCCGGGCUUAACCUGGGAACUGCAUUUGAAACUGGCGGACUAGAGUUGAGUAGAGGGGAGUGGAAUUUCAGGUGUAGCGGUGAAAUGCGUAGAUAUCUGAAGGAACACCAGUGGCGAAGGCGACUCCCUGGACUCAAACUGACGCUGAGGUACGAAAGCGUGGGUAGCAAACAGGAUUAGAUACCCCGGUAGUC